rnacentral:rRNA from 1 species
CCUACGGGAGGCAGCAGUGGGGAAUUUUGGACAAUGGGCGCAAGCCUGAUCCAGCAAUGCCGCGUGCAGGAUGAAGGCCUUCGGGUUGUAAACUGCUUUUGUACGGAACGAAACGGCUCUUUCUAAUAAAGAGAGCUAAUGACGGUACCGUAAGAAUAAGCACCGGCUAACUACGUGCCAGCAGCCGCGGUAAUACGUAGGGUGCGAGCGUUAAUCGGAAUUACUGGGCGUAAAGCGUGCGCAGGCGGUUAUAUAAGACAGAUGUGAAAUCCCCGGGCUCAACCUGGGACCUGCAUUUGUGACUGUAUAGCUAGAGUACGGUAGAGGGGGAUGGAAUUCCGCGUGUAGCAGUGAAAUGCGUAGAUAUGCGGAGGAACACCGAUGGCGAAGGCAAUCCCCUGGACCUGUACUGACGCUCAUGCACGAAAGCGUGGGGAGCAAACAGGAUUAGAUACCCUGGUAGUCCACGCCCUAAACGAUGUCAACUGGUUGUUGGGUCUUCACUGACUCAGUAACGAAGCUAACGCGUGAAGUUGACCGCCUGGGGUGGUACGGCGCGAGUAGUUAACGUUACGAAGAAGUUAGNGGCGNGAGAGNGCGACGGACGACGACGAGGGAGGAGG